GGCCCUAUCAGGUAGUAGUGGGUGUAAUGUACCUACUAGCCUACAANCGGGUACGGGUUGUAAGAGCAAGAGCCCGGAGAUGGAUUCUGAGACAUGAAUCCAGGCCCUACGGGGCGCAGCAGGCGCGAUAACUUUACAAUGCGGGAAACCGUGAUAAGGGGACACCGAGUGCUAGCAUCAUAUGCUGGCUGUCCAGGUGUGUAAACUACACCUGUUAGCAAGGGCCGGGCAAGACCGGUGCCAGCCGCCGCGGUAACACCGGCGGCCCGAGUGGUGAUCGUGAUUAUUGGGUCUAAAGGGUCCGUAGCCGGUUUGGUCAGUCCUCCGGGAAAUCUGAUAGCUCAACUAUUAGGCUUUCGGGGGAUACUGCCAGACUUGGAACCGGGAGAGGUAAGAGGUACUACAGGGGUAGGAGUGAAAUCUUGUAAUCCCUGUGGGACCACCUGUGGCGAAGGCGUCUUACCAGAACGGGUUCGACGGUGAGGGACGAAAGCUGGGGGCACGAACCGGAUUAGAUACCCGGGUAGUCCCAGCCGUAAACGAUGCUCGCUAGGUGUCAGGCAUGGCGCGACCGUGUCUGGUGCCGCAGGGAAGCCGUGAAGCGAGCCACCUGGGAAGUACGGCCGCAAGGCUGAAACUUAAAGGAAUUGGCGGGGGAGCACA
rnacentral:rRNA from 1 species